rnacentral:rRNA from 1 species
GGACCAAGGAGUUCAACAUGCGCGCUAGUUGUUGGGUAUUCAUUUGUAUGUAGUAAACCCGAAGGCGCAGUGAAAGCAAGUCACAGCUCUGCUGUGAAUUGGCGAGAUCCUGUCUACUAGUGUAGCCGGUAAAAUGGCCACUGUACAGGCGCAUCGCCGGCCCAUCAUAGACUCAUGUAGUCGUGGUGGAGCCUGAGCGUGCACGUUGAGACCCGAAAGAUGGUGAACUAUGCCUGGGCAGGAU